rnacentral:rRNA from 1 species
GAUGAACGCUGGCGGCGUGCCUAAGACAUGCAAGUCGAGCGAACAGAUGAGGAGGGGGCUCCUCGGACGUUAGCGGCGGACGGGGGAGUAACACGUGGAUAACCUACGGAUAAGACGGGGAUAACUGCGGGAAACCGGAGCUAAUACCUGAGAAUAUAUGGAAUGGCAUGGUUUAAGAAUGAAAGACGAUUUUACUGUCACUUAUAGAUGGAACUGCGCCGCAUUAGCUAUUUGGUAAGGUAAGGGUUUACCAAGGCAACGAGGCGUAGCCGCACUGAGAGGGUGAUGAGCCACGCCAGAAGUGCGAAACGACCGCGAAUCCUACGGGAGGCAGCAGUAGGGAAUCUUCCGCAAUAGGCGAAAGAAUGACGGAGCAACGACGCGUGAGUGAUGAAGGUCUUCGGCUCGUUAAACUCUGUUAUUAGGGAAGAACAAAUGUGUAAGUAACUAUGCACGUCUUGACGGUACCUAAUCAGAAAGCCACGGCUAACUACGUG